UUAAAUUGAAAUUUAGAUUCCCCAGAAAUUAUUGUUUGUUUUUUCCAGCCGACAGACAAUUGAGAUGCAAGUAUGUAACAGUUCGGAGCGCUGGAGUGGCAGCCCGUAGCUUUGCCUACAGAUAAGAUUUGGGAGAACCACAAAGCACCGUUGUUCAGCACAGCCAAGCUUUCCCUAAGGAACGACCACCUUCAGUCACACCAAUGAGCUGUCGCUGAAGAUUUUCUUUUGUGUGGUUUUUCUGAAGACAAUCUUGGUCUGUUUGACGUUAUUUUUCAGAAGUUAUCUCCAAAAAGGGUAGCAUCCAGUCAGGAGGACUUAGGGAUACUAUUACAUUCUUUGAGGAUCAAGGUCCAGGUUACCCAGCGGUGUGGCCAAAGCCUUCUCCAGCUGUGA
rnacentral:lncRNA from 1 species